rnacentral:lncRNA from 1 species
GCUAAAAUGGCUCCAGAUCAAAUAAAAAUACCAGUCUACACCCCAAAACACAACCUAAAAUUUAGAUCAAGCUUUGGCUGAUAAACUGCAUUACUUCAUUUUUUUUGAGGAAUCUACCAUUAUCAUGUGGUGGUUUGAAGCGCCUUAGUGCUGUUAUGCAGCAGAAAACCACACUAGUUUUUGUUAUCUUACUAUUCAGGCUACUUUGGUCCCAGUUCAAGAGAACAUGUCAAAUUAAUUUCAAUGCAGUCUGGAUGCUGAUCUUUAAAAAGUGGAUGUAAGCUGUUAAAUAUAUGAAGGUGACUGCUGGCUUUAGCACUAAACUCUAAACUUUUUCUCCUCUCACCAAUGAAUCCUGCCAGUGUGUGACAGCAGGGCACUGCUGGCUUUCUUUCUAUACAUGCCAGCCUUGCAGAAGUUUGAAACUUAAAUGGAAGUUAAGAAGUUUGAAAUUUAGCUGAAACAGAUGAAAGGAAGGCAAAGAAAGAGCUGGGUGGUUCAUCCUGCUGCAGCUGUCCAAUGUUAACUUCAAAAUGAUAAUACUCCUUUUGGUGGUAAUGUAUUUGGGAAAAGCCUUAACUUAAAAAAGAAAUGUUGUAAAAUCAAGAUCAUGGAAUCAUAGACUCAUUUAGGUUGGAAAAGCCCUCCAAGAUCAUCAAGCCCAAUCUUUGACCAAACACCACCAUAGCAACUAAGCCACAGCAUUAAGUGCCACGUCAAGUUUUUUUUUUUUUUUUUUUGAGCACUGCUGAGGGUGGUGACUCCACACUUUGCUGAGCAGUUGAUUCAGAUAUUUGACAACCCUUUAGGUGAAAACAUUCUUCCUCAGAUUGAUUACUUCCUUCCCUUAUUGUCUGCUAUAAUCAGGAAUUAAUUUAGUAAUUCACCCUAUGUUCUAUUUCAUGCAAAAGUUUGAGCUAUAAAUUCCUAAUAAUUCUCAAUAUUGUCGUAAUAUACAGUUUUAUGUAGUGACAUAUGGAAAGAACAAAAAAAUUAACUAGGCUUAUUUUCUUUAAAUACAGAUUUCCUAUUUUGUGAAUUCAGAUUUGGGUUUUAGUUGAAGUUGUAAUAUAUAUAGGGAGUAUGAGAAUGAAUACAGAGAAAAAAGAGAUCCCACUGUAUCCUGUGAAUUGUAAAAAGGAGGAUCUUUCUUUGCAGUCCAGGAUUAAUGUAUGUAGUGUGGAUAAAAUUAGGCACACAAUUUAUCUCUGAAAUAUUUUAAUUGAAUUAAUCUGCUUACCCAUUACUGUAUAGAUUCAUUCUAUUAUUUCCUUUGAAGGAGUACAAAUACAACGAUUAUAUUCUUGGUUGUUUCAGUGCAUCCAGACAAUUAAAGGAGCUUCUCUUAAAUAAGCAGACGCAUUUCACUUUUCAUCUUAGAAAUUUCUUCACUGUCCGUAAGCUAUUGUUAGUGUCACAUGGCUAUGUCUGUGCAAAUUAAAGAAUCAUUAUUUCACUUAAUUAACUUUAUUUAUUUACUUAAUUAGCUUUACAUAGCCAGCAACUCUCAAUAUUUGUAUUCCCAGACAGCUUGAUUUCAAAAUCAUUCUACUAUUUUGUGAGCCAGAACUUAAAAAGAUACAUGCAGUUGAUGAAGGUUGUCUCGAUUGAAAUUCAAAAUUGGUACCGGAAUAAAAAAAUUAACCUUAGAUCAAAUAAGAAGUGACUAAAUCAUUAUAUCCUUGAAUGUGUUUCUUGCUGAAAUCUAGAAAUUUGCUAGGUUCUAGUCAUUCCUAGGAUUUCUACUCCUUCUGCAGCUUAAAUUGUUACAUCUCUUAUUUGCUGGCACCUGAAGGCAUAUUUAACAGGCAUUAGUCUGUUACUCGAAGACCUAUAAGAAACCAGGGUUUUGGGGAAAGUCCUCAGGAACUACCCUGCACAGUUUUAUCUGUUUCCUUGGCCAGUUCCAUUGCUGACAGUGUUUCUCCAAUUGUAGGAGCCAGGAGAAAUCACAGGUGUUGCAUUAGUGAGUAAAUCACACAAUCAACAAGAACAUCUGUCCCUUCAUGGCCUCAUUGACAGGCCAGCCUCAGCACUUUUGGGACAGUGUUGUGGCUCAGAGUGCUGUCAGGUUUUGUGCUGAGCAGAUGCAGAAGCAGAGCAUUUUAUUCUGCCCCCUAAAUCUCUGACAUACAGAGGUAGUUUGGGUUCAAAGCCCUGCAUAUAGGAAAUGGAAGUGGUAUUCUGGUUGAUAAUGUCCUUCCCCACUUUGCAUUCCCAUUUAGGGAAAAGUUGUUAGGGAAGCCUAACUAACAAAUUUUAUUUUCAGAUCCGGGUUAGUUAUGCUCCCAUGACUAAUUUAACACCAAACACCUUGUAGUUUCAUGUGGAUUAUACAAUGAUGCUGUCUUGGUUUUAUGAAAUGUAGGGGGCGGGGGGGGUUAUGCACUAUUGAUUUGGCAAAAUGUGCUUGGUCUUGCUUUUAUGUUCUGGAGCAUAUGGGACACAAAAAAUGAAAGAUUACUUUAUGUUAACUAUUUCCCAUCUAUUUCCCAAUUCAUUCUAAAUCAAGGUUAGAAUUCUGCCCAAAAUUAAGUUCUGGGCCAAAUGAUAAAUGACAAGGACUGAUGAGGUUAAACAGUGCUUUAUGGGUGCAAAUAUUAAAUGUGUAUAUAUUUUUUACAGUAUUUUACUCAAGUCUACCUCUUAGGAGAAGCACUGAAUCUUUCCAAGUCUUAUUAUUUCAGUUCAGUAUUUCUAUUCCAACACUUAUUUAAAAGUCUACAAUUCAAUGUGAUCUUCACUACACAACAUAAACCCAUUGCUUUGGAAGAAAAGAAGGACUAAAUGGUUCUAUUUGUACUUCUGAUGCUUUAUGAAUACUAAUGUUCACAAUCACAGAUUAAAUUAAUGUCAGUUACCUCAGUCACACUUGGCAAAUGAAUCAUAAAAGAUUCAUCUUGAUAUGGUAAGUUGUCCUUGACAGCAAAUUAAAAUCUUAAUAAAUGUCCUAUUCAGAAAACACAUCCAUACAUAGUCUUCAUUUUUAGAAAUCACGGCCAGAGUGUGGAUUCAUUGUGGUUUUUUGUUUUAUGAAAGCUGCCUAUAAUUAUGUGUUAUUUCUUAAAUGCCCUGCUAAAGUACAACAGGAAUUUUAAAGAAAAAUAUUUCUGCUACUGCUUCAGCAUUUUAUUAGGGACAACCCAAUAAUAUACUGAAAGUGAAACAAAAAAAAAAAAAAGACUAAAUACAAUAAUUUUAUUUUUCAAUUGCAUUUGAAUGAAUUUUUUUCUCAAAGGCGCUCUUUAUUUUUGUGCCUUUUUGCUGUUAAAGAGAAGUUCACAUCCUCCUCUUGAAGUAAAAGUUGGAUUUUGUACCCCUUUGAAGACAAAGGGAAUGCUUUGCUAUUGAUAAAUGGGAGGAUCAGCUCUCACUACCCAAACCUAGUUAGCUCAUGUCUGUGCAAUGCUGGGGAGAAGGGAGGAAUGGGAAAAGAAAAUGACAUCUUUCAUUUGCUUUGGAAAGAUGAGUAAAUAAACAGCCAGGACUGUAUAGGAUGUCAGACAGAGUACUUGGAUUGAUUUCCAUAAGUUAUAUGUAUUAAGGACUGAGUUCAAUGUGGUGAAUCAUGACAUAUAAAUUUAGAAGCCAUAAAUGACCUCUUGCUCUUUCACAACAGAAAUUUAUGUGAUAUAUAUGACAUGCCUUCCAAUGAAAUAAAAUGGUACUUAAUUCUAUCUGUAAAUAUUUUGAAAUUCAGAGGUGAUUUUCAUAGCUGUAAAAAUGACUCCUCUAUUUCGCUUAUCCAGUACAAUGACAUUGUACAUUUAACAUAAGAUGAAAUUCCUUGGUAAGAGGCUUGCUGUAUUUUGGCAACAGCAGGCGUUUGAGCAGCUUUCUGUUUUUGCAGAACUCUUUCAUCUGUCAUAUAUUUCUUAUAUUUCAAGAGCUAAUUCAGAGCUUUUAGGCUGCAUAGCACCAAUGUCCACACAGUACCACAUACAGAAUCUUUAAGUAUGCAGUGCUAGUCUGCAGAUACAGUAGUGCUUAUGAAUUUCUACAGAAAAUAAUUAUGGCACAUGUACAGACUAUACUUUUCCACAUGAAAUAAUCCUAGUUUUUUUAAUUCAUUUUGUCAAAAAACUAGCUCACAUUCUGGACUAAUGAUCUGCAAAAUUUCAUUUGUAGUGUAAAAUAACACUAGAAGAUGAGAUCUUUUAAAAUCUUUGUAGAAGAGUUACUGGUGUGUGUUUCUAUCACACUGUCUGCACUUGAUAAUGGAGCCAGUGACAGCCCUUUUUAGUGACAGAGCAGCAGCUGAGCAAGUACAGCAGCUGAACAGACAAGGUCAUCCAAAAAACCCAAUAUAUCAUGGAAUAGGCUGAAUCGUUGUUCAGACUCAGCAGUGUUGCCACACUUAAAGCAAUCUGUAAUGAAAAAUAACAAAGUUUUGUUAAAAUAACAGAAUGACAAUUUGUUGCUCUCCUCAGCUGAGCUUGGAGAAACUGUAGGUCUUAGAAGAUAUAAAGCAUAAAGAUGUAUAUAUGUGAAGCUUUUGUUUCCAUAAGGCCUUCCUGGUUCAGUUCAAGAAAGAUGAUCUCUUGCUCUUGGGCAGCUGUACCUCUAUAACCUUUUUUAUAUUCACCACAAAUCUUCUGAAUACAAUCCCAGACACAAAAUGAUCUAUUUCUUCAUGGCAUCCUUUGGAUUUAAUUAUAGCUUUGAGUCCUGUGUGAAGGAUAGUGAAUGAAAUGCCAACUCUCUGAUGUGCUUCAAUAAAGCUGCCUAUAAUCAUUGAGGCAGAGAAAGAUGAGAAUUAAAAACAAAGUAUUAUUAUAAAUAAGUGUUUUUAAUAGCACAAUUAACUGUUAAUGUCUAUCAAUACUGAGAACACUUUCAAGGUGCCAGAUUUUAUAGUUUUUGAGACUUUAUGGUUAUUCUGUUUGAACUUUGGUUUUCCAUUUUUGAGCUAUCUGUCUUUAUGUCAACAUAAGAAAAUAUAAUGCAUAGGUAAAGGCUAAUUAAUUUGGCAAAUUUUAGACAGCAUCUUUAAAAUUAGAUUAACUGUGUCUUAUACUCCACUGAUUAUAUUGACUAUAUCUCUGUUGACAGUGGAGGCAAGCUAUUUUAUAGACUUCUCUAUUUAGUCUGAUUAAUCACAUUUAUAUAUCAAGUUGAAUUGCACACUUGGUAAUGUGCACAUCUUCACAUAGAGAUUUACAAGCACAGUAGCUAAUCCCUGGGGUUUGUAGUUUUAUGACUUGACUGUGGGACAGAACUUUCUCAUCCUGAAUUCAUUCAUCAACAAAUUCCAGUUUCUGAAGCAAAUAAAGCUGAAGUUUACAAGCAGUGGCUUUGUACAGCUUGUCAACCCUCUGAGAGGAUGUGGC